AACGAACGCUGGCGGCAGGCCUAACACAUGCAAGUCGAGCGGACCUUUCGGGGUCAGCGGCGGACGGGUGAGUAACGCGUGGGAAUAUGCCCUUCUCUACGGAAUAGUCCUGGGAAACUGGGGGUAAUACCGUAUACGCCCUUUGGGGGAAAGAUUUAUCGGGGAAGGAUUAGCCCGCGUUGGAUUAGGUAGUUGGUGGGGUAAUGGCCUACCAAGCCGACGAUCCAUAGCUGGUUUGAGAGGAUGAUCAGCCACACUGGGACUGAGACACGGCCCAGACUCCUACGGGAGGCAGCAGUGGGGAAUCUUAGACAAUGGGGGCAACCCUGAUCUAGCCAUGCCGCGUGAGUGAUGAAGGCCUUAGGGUUGUAAAGCUCUUUCAGCUGGGAAGAUAAUGACGGUACCAGCAGAAGAAGCCCCGGCUAACUACGUG
rnacentral:rRNA from 1 species